GCCAUUGUGGAGUAGUGGUUUGAGUUUUGGACUAUAACUCUAGAGACCAGGGUUCGAUUCCCAGCUUGGCC